GGAGACGUGGCCGAGUGGUCCAAGGCAGCGGUUUGCUAAACCGUCGAGGGGAAACCUUCGCGUGGGUUCAACUCCCACCGUCUCCGCCA
rnacentral:tRNA from 1 species